rnacentral:rRNA from 1 species
GAGUUUGAUCAUGGCUCAGGAUGAACGCUGGCGGCGUGCCUAAUACAUGCAAGUCGAGCGAACGGACGAGAAGCUUGCUUCUCUGAUGUUAGCGGCGGACGGGUGAGUAACACGUGGAUAACCUACCUAUAAGACUGGGAUAACUUCGGGAAACCGGAGCUAAUACCGGAUAAUAUUUUGAACCGCAUGGUUCAAAAGUGAAAGACGGUCUUGCUGUCACUUAUAGAUGGAUCCGCGCUGCAUUAGCUAGUUGGUAAGGUAACGGCUUACCAAGGCAACGAUGCAUAGCCGACCUGAGAGGGUGAUUGGCCACACUGGAACUGAGACACGGUCCAGACUCCUACGGGAGCAGCAGUAGGGAAUCUUCCGCAAUGGGCGAAAGCCUGACGGAGCAACGCCGCGUGAGUGAUGAAGGUCUUCGGAUCGUAAAACUCUGUUAUUAGGGAAGAACAUAUGUGUAAGUAACUGUGCACAUCUUGACGGUACCUAAUCAGAAA